rnacentral:tRNA from 1 species
GGAGCGAUGGCAGAGUGGUUGAAUGCGGCGGUCUUGAAAACCGUUGAACGCAAGUUCCGGGGGUUCGAAUCCCUCUCGCUCCGCCA